AACGCGAAGAACCUUACCAACCUUUGACAUGUCCGGUAUGGUCGUCAGAGAUGACUUCCUUCCCGCAAGGGGCCGGAACACAGGUGCUGCAUGGCUGUCGUCAGCUCGUGUCGUGAGAUGUUGGGUUAAGUCCCGCAACGAGCGCAACCCUCGCCCUUAGUUGCCAUCAUUCAGUUGGGCACUCUAAGGGGACUGCCGGUGAUAAGCCGCGAGGAAGGUGGGGAUGACGUCAAGUCCUCAUGGCCCUUACAGGUUGGGCUACACACGUGCUACAAUGGCGGUGACAAUGGGACGCAAUGGAGCAAUCCUGCGCAAAUCUCAAAAAGCCGUCUCAGUUCGGAUUGUGCUCUGCAACUCGAGCACAUGAAGUUGGAAUCGCUAGUAAUCGCAGAUCAGCACGCUGCGGUGAAUACGUUCCCGGGCCUUGUA
rnacentral:rRNA from 1 species